rnacentral:rRNA from 1 species
UACAGAGGGUGCAAGCGUUAAUCGGAAUUACUGGGCGUAAAGCGUGCGCAGGCGGUGAUGUAAGACAGAUGUGAAAUCCCCGGGCUCAACCUGGGAACUGCAUUUGUGACUGCAUCGCUAGAGUACGGCAGAGGGGGAUGGAAUUCCGCGUGUAGCAGUGAAAUGCGUAGAUAUGCGGAGGAACACCGAUGGCGAAGGCAAUCCCCUGGGCCUGUACUGACGCUCAUGCACGAAAGCGUGGGGAGCAAACAGG